UGCUUGCAGGCUUAGUGGUUAGCGCUGUUGCCUCGCGCUUCAAGGGUUGCGGGUUCGAAUCCCGCAUCAGCUC